rnacentral:rRNA from 1 species
AUACGGAGGGUGCAAGCGUUACUCGGAAUCACUGGGCGUAAAGGACGCGUAGGCGGAUUGGAAAGUCAGAUGUGAAAUCCUACAGCUCAACUGUAGAACUGCAUUUGAAACUUCUAAUCUAGAGUAUGGGAGGGGGAGAUGGAAUUAGUGGUGUAGGGGUAAAAUCCGUAGAUAUCACUAGGAAUACCGAAAGCGAAGGCGAUCUCCUGGAACAUAACUGACGCUAAGGCGUGAAAGCGUGGGGAGCAAACAGGAUUAGAAACCCCAGUAGUCC